rnacentral:rRNA from 1 species
AGGCAAGAAGCAUCAUAGUCUGAGACCCCGAAACUAGACGAGCUACUCCGAAGCAGUCUAAAAGGACUAACCCGUCUCUGUGGCAAAAGAGUGGGAAGACUUCCGAGUAGAGGUGAAAAGCCUACCGAGCCUAGUUAUAGCUGGUUGCUUAAGAAAAGAAUAUGAGUUCAGCCUUAUAAGUUUCUCAAAAAUCAAAAUGAAAGAAUAAAGUAACACAUAAGAGUUAGUCGAAGGGGGUACAGCUCCUUCGAAAAAGAACACAACCUUACCCAGGUAAAUAAGGAUUAUACUAAAAAAGGACAUGACUUUCAACAGUGGGCCCGAAAGCAGCCACCUCUAAUAGAAAGCGUUAAAGCUCAAGAACAGCCACACCAAAAAUAAAAAUAACCACUCCUAAUUUCCUAAUAAUAUUAAGCUACCCUAUUUUAUAGGAGAAAUUAUGCUAAAAUGAGUAAUAAGAGAAACUAGACCCUCUCCGGGCACACGUGUAAAUUAGAGCGGACAAACCACUGACAACUAACGGACCCAAAAAAGAGGGUAAAACAACAAAACUCAAUAAACAAGAAAAACCUAUUAAAACAACCGUUAACCCAACACAGGAGUGCCACUUAAGGAAAGACUAAAAGGGGAAGAAGGAACUCGGCAAACACAAACCUCGCCUGUUUACCAAAAACACCGCCUCCUGCAAAUAGAAUGUAUUGGAGGUCCUGCCUGCCCAGUGACAAUAGGUUCAACGGCCGCGGUAUUUUGACCGUGCAAAGGUAGCGUAAUCACCUGUCUUUUAAAUAAAGACCUGUAUGAAUGGCAAGACGAGGGUUUUACUGUCUCCUCCCCCCAGUCAAUGAAAUUGAUCUACCCGUGCAGAAGCGGGUAUAAAAACAUAAGACGAGAAGACCCUAUGGAGCUUUAGGCACACAUCAAAUAUGUAAAAAACCAAAUCUUCCAAAUAGGCCUAAAAAAUGAGAAAAACAAGUAUUAAUGAUUAAUUGCCUUCGGUUGGGGCGACCACGGGGAAAAAUAAAACCCCCACAUGGAAUGGGUAAAAUUAUCCUAAGCCAAGAAAAACAAUUCUAAGCAACAAAAUUUUUGACCAAUAAACGACCCAGGGACAACAUCCCUGAGCAAUGAACCAAGUUACCCUAGGGAUAACAGCGCAAUCCUUUCCCAGAGCCCAUAUCAACGAAAGGGUUUACGACCUCGAUGUUGGAUCAGGGCAUCCUAACGGUGCAGCCGCUGUUAAGGGUUCGU